rnacentral:miRNA from 1 species
CCCCUCAGUCCACCAGAGCCCGGA